GGGGUCGUAGCUCAGUUGGUAGAGCGUCUCGUUCGCAAUGAGAAGGUCGCAGGUUCGAUUCCUGUCGGCUCCACCA
rnacentral:tRNA from 3 species